UAGAUUCUUCUUUUUGACAGAUCAAUCAAAACCCCUUCCCAAAUUGUACAAGCUUCUUCUAAAGCAUACGGCUUUCUGGAUGUAGAUGAUGAUAUCUAUACAGAUGGAUUCGUAUAACUCUUAUAUAUAUUGUACAAUGAAGUACCACAUGAGUGGAUAUAUAGGAAUCCAGAUCUGUUGAACCACUCAUGUUAUGAUUUUCUACAUCCUAGGUCUUCCCAUUCCGUUAUCUAGCUUAUGUUCUUCAUGUAGCAUUCAGACCGAAUGACUCUAUGAAAUUACGUCGAUACUCCCACAUAUUAUGGGCAACGUACAGAGACAUCUCUAUUUUUCCCCGGGGAAUCUUUAGAAUUACCAUUGCUUAGCUUUCAAUUUGCCUCUGGCCAUCAAAUGAAAUGUGAAUAACUCGUCCUCCUCUCUUUGAAAUAAGGGGCGCUUCUGGUUCUGUAAGUGCUUGAAACAAUUUUGUCUUUUCCAUAUUAUUAUAUCUCUAGAGUCAAUUUGAGUGCCUUUAUAGGAUAGACCUCAACAGAAAACUAAAGAGUAACAAUAGCAAGUGAUUGAGUUCAGUAGUUCAUUGUAUAACUCUAAAAUAGUAGCAAAUUUAAUAAUAAAAUAAAAUAUAUACAAUAUCCAAAUAAUAACAAAAAAGCAGUAGCAAUAUAAUAGGGAAAUGACAACAACAACAAAAUUUAGGCUGAUUUGGGCCAAGCCUAAGCCAAAAAAGCCUACCCAAUACUCAACCCGUUUAGAAAAUGAGUUUUAUUUUUGUCCAAACCCUCCUACUUUUCGGGCAAGCCUUCAGGCCUGGAUGAGUGGCCCGACCCAUGGUCAGGUCCAAUACACAUAUAUGCAUAAAAUAUUUUCAAAGUAUUAUAAAUAAUUUAAAUUAAUCUCUAAAUUUCAAAACAACAUUAUAUCUAUCAGGUUAUUCCUUUUAACCUAGUCAUGAAUUUAGGUAUUAUAUCAACUCAAAUUUGACCUGGAACAAAUUUAUAAUACUUGAAUUAUAAACACAUGUGUAGUUAUUGUAUGAACAACUUAAUUCUAACGUAUUAUAAAAAAUAAUAGUGUCAAAAAAAUUACUCGUCAAAUCUAAAUUGUUCAUGUAGUGUGUGUAUAUACAUUUACAAUUUUAUUCUCGUGUUUUAAAUAUGCUAUAAGCAGAGACAAAGAUAGGGGCUGGCCGGG
rnacentral:lncRNA from 1 species